rnacentral:rRNA from 1 species
AUGAAGGUCGUGCUGAAGCUGGACCUGCACGACGACAAGCAGAAGCACAAGGCCAUCAAGGUCGUCUCCACUCUCCACGGUAUCGACCAGAUCGCCGUGGACACCAAGGACGACAAGAUGACGGUGGUCGGCACCGUCGACCCCGUCCACGUCGUCGGCAAGCUUCGCAGCAAGCUCUUCCGCACGGCGCACAUCCUCUCCGUCGGCCCGGCCAAGGAGGAGAAGAAAGAUGACGCCAAGAAGGACGACGGCAAGAAGGACCCGACCCCGGUGUACCCGCCGUGGUACCCGCCGCCGCCGCCGUACCACUACCACCCGCACCCGUACUACCACGGCCACAGCGCCGAGGACGACCCCAGCUCCUGCGUCAUCUGCUGA